GACGAACGCUGGCGGCGUGCUUAACACAUGCAAGUCGAACGGAAAGGCCCUGCUUUUGUGGGGUGCUCGAGUGGCGAACGGGUGAGUAACACGUGAGUAACCUGCCCUUGACUUUGGGAUAACUUCAGGAAACUGGGGCUAAUACCGGAUAGGAGCUCCUGCUGCAUGGUGGGGGUUGGAAAGUUUCGGCGGUUGGGGAUGGACUCGCGGCUUAUCAGCUUGUUGGUGGGGUAGUGGCUUACCAAGGCUUUGACGGGUAGCCGGCCUGAGAGGGUGACCGGCCACAUUGGGACUGGGAUACGGCCCGGACUCCUCCGGGAGGCAGCAGUGGGGAAUAUUGCACAAUGGGCGGAAGCCUGAUGCAGCAACGCCGCGUGCGGGAUGACGGCCUUCGGGUUGUAAACCGCUUUCGCCUGUGACGAAGCGUGAGUGACGGUAAUGGGUAAAGAAGCACCGGCUAACUACGUG
rnacentral:rRNA from 1 species